rnacentral:rRNA from 1 species
UACAGAGGGGGCAAGCGUUGUUCGGAAUUACUGGGCGUAAAGGGCUCGUAGGCGGCCAACUAAGUCAUACGUGAAAUCCCUCAGCUUAACUGGGGAACUGCGUGUGAUACUGGAUGGCUUGGAUUUGGGAGAGGGAUGCGGAAUUCCAGGUGUAGCGGUGAAAUGCGUAGAUAUCAAGAGGAAUACCAACAGCGUAGGCAGCUUUCUGGAAGAUACCUGACUCUGAGGCACGAAGGCCAGGGGAGCAAACGGG